CGUUUCUUUCUUGCUAGUGAUGUUCCUAUUGGGUGCAAAUGGUUCUAUAAGAUCAAGUAUAACUUUGAUGGCUCUAUUGAAAGGUUUAAAGCUCAAAUGAUGAGGAAAAGAUACAAUCAGUAGGCUGGUAUUGAUUUUCAGGAGACUUUUUCCCCAAUGGUUAAGCAUGCCACUAUUUGGACUAUUGUUAGUGUAGCUGCCAUGCAUGACUGGCCCCUUUUCCAAAUGGAUGUAUACAAUGCCUUCUUCUAAGGAGAUUUGCAUGAGGAGGUCUAUAUGGACAUUCCAGAAGGUUUUUACACACAGAUGGAGCACAAGGUGUCUCAUUUGCUCAAAUCAUUGUACGGUUUGAAACAAGCUUCUUGGCAUUGGAAUUUAAAGCUUACAGAGGCAUUGUUGCAAUGAGGUUACACACAAAGCAAAUAUGACUAUUCCUUGUUUUCAAAAAUACAAGGGGUAACAUAGUCAUACUACUUGUCUAUGUUGAUGAUCUACUAAUCACAAGAAGUGACAUUAGUAUGAUAAAUGAGUUUAAAAAGGUCCUGCACCAGAAUUUUAAAACUUGGGAGAAUUGAAAUAUUUUCUUGGCAUAGAGGUUAUGAUAUCAAGUGAAGGUAUUAUGUUGAACCAAAGGAAGUAUGCGUUGGAGUUGAUAGCUGAUGUUGGGUUAGGAAAAGCAAAACAGCAAGUAUGCCUCUUGAACAAAAUCAAAAACUCACUUCAAUUGAGUAUGAUGAAUCUGUAGAACUAAGAGCUGAUGGUGAUGAAUUGAUAUCUAAUUUUGUAGUAUCAUUUGCAGACAUAUCGUUUGCAAUACAACACUUAAGCCAAUUCAUGCACAAAACAAAAAAUUCUCAUCUAGAGGUUGCUUUUCAGGUGGUUCGGUAUAUCAAAAAAAAAUCUUGGUUAAGGUAUCCUAUUGGCUACAUCUAGUAAACUAUAACUUGUUGCAUUUUGUGAUUUAGAUUAGGCUUAAUAUCCCAUGUCCAGAAGAUCUAUCACCAGAUUUUGUGUUAAGCUUGGAGAUUUCCUCAUUUCAUGGAAAUAAAAAAAAACAAACUAUUGUUUCUCAAUCAUUAGCAGAGGCUGAAUACAUAAAUAUGACAGCAGUAGUAGCAGAGGCUAUUUGGUUGGAUGGCUUAUUGAAAGAGGUCUUUCUUGGUCAGUUUGACAAGUCUUUACUUUUUCAAAUACUCAGGUAACACUACCGAUUGCAGCAAACCCUAUUUUUCAUGAACGCAUCAAACAUAUAGAAAUUAAUUGUCAUUUUGUACCAGAUAAAAUUGGAGAGGGUUUGAUUCAAAUACAGCAUAUUAGGACAAUUGAACAGCUUGCAGAUUUGAUGAAUAAAGCACUUGGAAUCAAGCAACAUGAAUAUUUGGUGUCCAAGUUAGGGGUUAAAGAUUUGUAUCACCCCUCAACUUGAGGGGGAGUGUUGAGAAGCAAGUAGAUAGUUAGCUAGGUAGUUAGACUCAGUUAGUAUAGUUUGUUUGUUAUUAGUUAGUUAGCAAGUAAUCUAUAAAAGAUUAGUGAGUCUGUAAUUAUAAUUAACAGUCUUCCACUGAAUGUACUGGUUUUUUCCUUCAUCAAUAGAUUCUUGAUCAGUUUUUCAACAAUAAUGUUGAAAGAAGAAGCGGAGCAUAUACGGUUUUCAAUCUCUUGUUUUCAUUGGCAUGCUUAAGGAAAUAAAACAAGUAGAAAAGCAUGCAUUGUUGUAACAAUAUCAUCAAUGUUCUUUUGGUUUGGAUAAGCUGGACUUUAUAACUUUGUAAUUGAGAUCAUAAGAACGGCUCCAAUAAUUGUAUUAGACAACAAGUGUGAUUCAGUCAAUCCCAAUCCAUUACACACUCCAAAAUGAGCAUGUAAAACGACUAUCCCUAAAUGAUUUAUGGUGGAACCAGUAGAGGUUAAUUCACAAAUGGACAAGCUUGCAAGAAAGAUUCAUUUUCUUUCAAUGGAAUCCAGCUAAAAACAAUAACAACACAUAUUGAUAAAUGCCAUUAAUUCUAAGUAUCGCCUGUCGAAACCAUUUUUUAAAGGGGGUGUUUGAAAAACAGGGAUCGACUUUUGAAAAACGAAAACGGGAGUCGCCACUAAUCUUUUUAGGUGUGAUUGGAUCACCUUAUAAAAUAUUUUGUUUUAAAACAUUAAUUUUGGUCUACGAAAUUAUGAGAAAAAUAGGUUCGGGAGUCGAUUACGUACGAGGAAGGAUUAGCACCCUCGUAACGCCCAAAAUUGGUACCAAAUUGAAUAAUUUUUUGUCUUAAUGUCAGAAAAUCUGAAAAGAUUUUAAAACUUGAAUAAUUUAAAGUUGAAACUUGAGAUUCCUUUGUUCCGAAAGUAUACAAACAUCACAUCCAGCAUGUUAGGACACGAUGUUUUAAAUCCUCGUAACUAAAAUUAUCUCAUGAUUUUGAAAAUUUAUUAAAAGGAUAUUUGGUUAUUUAGUCAAACGAAAAAAAAUCACAACCCAGCAUGUUAGGGAACUAUUUUCCGAAUUUCUAAACACCAAACAUUGCCUUAUUUAAGAAAAAACUUUUUCAAUUAAAUGAAAUAUAUUUUUUAAAACAAUGAAUAAUAUAGAAUUUAAUAAAAAAUAAUUUGAUAUAAAUACUAAAAUUAUUAAAAAAAUAAAAUAUAAAAGAGAAUUAAAAAAAUUAAGGAGAUAGGGAUUAAAUAAAAAGGUUGAAAACGGAGAUGAACAAAGAAUAAAUAAGAACAAACCGUAGAAAAUAAGAACGCAAGAGGGAGAGAAAUUUGAGUGAAUGCUCUCAAGAAUUCUUAUUGCUUCCCAAAACUUAAGUGAAGUCAAGUUGUUUUACAAUGAGGGGAGAGGCCUCUAUUUAUAGUUGAGCCUCCCCAAAUCCAACGGUACAGAUCAAUUACAUCAACGGUUAAGAUUAAAGGAUAUCCACAAAUUAAAUCUCCAAGAUUAAAAAAUCAUAUCUUCUAAGAUUGUAUAUCAUAUCUAAGAUUGCAAUCAUAUCUAAUAUUGUAUCAUAUCUAAGAUUGCAUAUCACAUCUAAGAUUGCAUAUAAUUGAAGAUUAUAUUUCCAUAUAAGUCAAACUUGUAGAUGGACCUUAAAUCUUUUCAAGUAAUGGGCCAUUCCGAUCGGGCCAAAUUAUAUUUGUAAUUCUGAACUUAACUUGGACUUCGUUUUUUUUGGGAGGGGUUUAUUAUUUUUGGAUUAUUUCUGGGCCCGGGAAAAAUUUAGUGUCUACAGCUGCCCCUCUUUGCUCAUUGUUGUGUAACAGGAAUAGAGCAAAGACUAUAAAAAGACCAAUUUUGCCCGGUCUUGCCGAGUCUUGAGUUCUUAAUCUUCUUUAAAUGGCCUCUUGACGGCUUCAAUCUGCUUCUUGCAAACUCAUGACUGUCAUGUUGAUAUCUUCGACCUGCUCUCCAUCGAACACAGAGACGCCAAAUCUGCUUCUUCAAUUUGUUCCCUGACAAUACAGAGAUGCCAAAUCAUCUUAGAUUUGCUUCAGCGUAAACAUGCGAAAGCCAAAUCAGCUAUGUCUUCGAUUUGCUCCUUGUAAGCACAAGGAUACCAAACCAUCUUAGAUCUGCUUCAGUCUAAUCAUCUGAAGGUUAGAUCUGCUAUAUGUCUGUCCUCCGUCGAAUAUGGAGACGCCAAACUUCGAUUUGUUCUCUGAAAAUACAGAGAUGCCAAAUCAUCUUAGACUUGCUUCAAUGUAAACACGUGAAAGCCAAAUCAGCUAUGUCUUCGAUUUGUUCCUUGUAAGUACAAAAAUGCCAAACCAUCUUGGAUCUUGCUUCAGUAUAAACAUCUGAAGGCCAGAUCUGCUAUGUGUCUGCCCUCCAUCGAAUAUGGAGACGCCAAAGUUCGAUUUGUUCUUUGACAAUACAGAUAUGCCAAAUCAUCUUAGACUUGCUUCAACGUAAACACGUGAAAACCAAAUCAGCUAUGUCUUCGAUUUGUUCCUUGUAAGCACAAGGAUGCCAAACCAUCUUGGAUCUUACUUCAGUAUAAACAUCUGAAGGUCAGAUCUGCUAUGCUUUAACCUGUUACCCUACUGCUUAAGGGGUUAAGGCGCAUCUUUGAUCUGCUCCACUACUGCUUAGGGAGAUAAGAUCCGCAAUUUUGACCUGUUAUGGGAUUAAGGCGAGUCGUCGUUGAUCUGUUCCACUACUACUUAGGGAGAUAAGAUCUAUAAUUUUAGCCCAUUACCCUACUGCUUAGGGGGUUAAGGCAAGUCUUCGAUCUGCUCCACUACUGCUUAGGGAGAUAAGAUCUGCAAAUUUAACCUGUUACCCUACUGCUUAGGGGAUUAAGGCGCUGAAUUUUGUAAUUUUCAAUCAAUCUUGCUACAUUGUCCACUGGGGAAUCCACUUGUAGAAUUGAUUUCCUGGAAUUUAUGCUUAUGCCAAAUAAUUAAGAUGCCAUGAUCAAAAUGAGUCAAAUGCUCCUAAUUAGACAUAUUAUGAUGCAAAAUGUUUAUGAAAAUAACUCUUAUUUUGGAUGUCAUCACUUAUUCAUCUAUCGAGCUUUCCACCUCGUUCUUCUUGACAUAUCAAUCAUACUCUACUCGUAUGCCUCGAAUCUUCUCCAUCAAUUUGGCCUACCGUACCAUUCCCCGAAUGUUACGACCCACUGAAGAUGUUUAUGAAAUGAUCCUUUCUUAAGAUCAAUAUUGCUUAAAACGUCCAACCAUCUUUUGGACUGAAGAAGAAAAUCUCUCGAGUAUCUCUAACCCAUACAUAUGAGAAUUCCUUAAAAAAUUGUCUUGUCUCAGUUUCUUGUAUUAUCUAGAAAUUUCUAGAGUAAUAUGCAAAACUUCGUUUAUGAAGAUAUUUUAGUUCAUUUAUCAUUAUUUCAAUGCAACAUGCUUUAUGAAUAAUGGGAGACAAAUAAAUGGAUCCUGAGGAUAAUUAGAUUUGGACAAAUUAUUGGAAGGAAUGCGAAAAGAUUAACCUGAGAACAUAUCUUUGUGAAGAAAAAGAAUCCAAAGAUAGUAAAUAGGACAGAAAUCAGAUGCCCCAGAUAUCGCCGCUUGAGCGUCUAUACACCAGCUCCAUAAAGACUUUCUUGAGUUCAACAUGUGUUUAAAAGAUCCAAAGUAAUUCUUUCAUGCCUCGAUAUGUAACAUUCUUCACUUCUCGUCGAAUCUGGAAUAGCAAAGUUACUGCAUGACUUUCCAAAUUUGAGCUGCCUUUCGGGUUUUCAACUCAAAACCCCUCAAGGCGCCCUUUGCGGGUUUUCACCUUGGCCUCUCCAUUUUUCUUUUUUUAUUUUUUAUUUUUUCUUUUUUUCGCUUUUUCUUUUCUUUUUUUUUUUGAAAUAGAAGUCCCAAAGUGCCCUUUGCGGGUUUUCACCUUGGCUUCCCUUCUCCUUCAGACAAAGUACUCAUUAACCGAGUCUGAAUUCACUAGAUUAGAUAAAUUCUUCCUAUCCAUUUCUUGUCAAAAUCAGUGCACCUCUAGAGAAAGCCCUCUUCACAACAUAUGGCCCUUCCCAAUUCGGCAUCCUUUUGCAUGAAAAGGAUCUCUUUCAGCACAAGGUUUCCUUUAUGAAAUCUUUUUAGACGAACCUUCUUUGCCAUAAGUCUGUGUCAUCCAUUCUUGGUACGUUUGCUUAGGAUGAAUACUUUAAAGUUAAGUUUACUAGAGGUAUUCAAUUCUUGACUCCAUCAAAGCUUGGAGGAAAAAUCUUGAUUCAUAAACCCAUGAAAGGGAUUGCCCCAGCAACAGUCCUGGCUGUUGUUUGUCAAACCCUAAAAAAAGAUGGUUCAAUGAUUCUCAGCAGACAAGAAUGAAGUUGCUGACUUUAUCCUUCAACUUGGAAAGCUGAGGUACAGAGAUUACUCCCGGAGCAUACAUCCCACCAUGACUCGAUGAUGUUUCUGAAGCAUCCCUAAUCUUCAUAAAUUGCCCCCAACUGUGAAGCUGCCAAAUGAGUGUAGCAAAUAGGAGCCACAAAAAAUAUGGUUGUGGUGCUUCUUUGAUACAUAUAGGAUAGAGAAUGAACAAACUCUUGCAGAUCAUCAGCCGAAAACCCAGCUUGGUCUAAGAGAACAUGAUAGUGGGUCUGCCUCAUGAUUCCAAUCAUUCCAGCAUGGGUACCAAGGUAAAAAUCAUUGUUCUUUGGAUGGCAUACUUUGUUGUCAAUGACAGUACCAUGUAGCACAUUGUCAGGAGAUUCCUGCUGAAAAAACUUGGUAUGAUGGUUUUUCGUACAACAAUAAUCACAAUCUUUAGGGUUCCACUUCUCGUCAAGGAACUUGCAAGACUCAAUAACUUGAUCAAAACUUGAUUGAAUUGAGACUCGCUAACCCUAUCCCUGAAAAUAAUGAUUUGAUCAAGUUUCUUCUUCCCUGAACUUGUAUAGAAGUUUAAGAGAGCUUCCUUCAUGAUACCGUCAUCCACUUUGUCAGAAACUGGUUUUGAAGAAAGAAUCUAUCAUUUUAAGCUUCAGAGACUGUGUACGGCCUGAUGCCCCAUAACUAGAAAUCAAUGGCCACCGCCUGGAGCUAAUCAUCGUAGCUAUUGACAGCACAUCAGACUGCUCAGGAAAGCCAAACAAUGCACCCAUUCCAAUGAUGAUGGUUGGAACCUUUGGAACAACUGGAAUUGAAGGUGUUUGCCCCAGCGUAAGCAUAGAUAGUAGGCAGUAGUUUCUUACGCCAAUUUUUACCAGUCUCAGUCAUCUUCUGUAAUUUGUUUUUUUUUCUUUUUCUUUUCUUUUGGCAACCUUUGUUGUACUGUGGUAUGGCGCAUUAUCUUUGAAAAGACUGCAAACUUUUGGCAUUGUGCAGUUAUAUAUAAUCUUUUUCUUUUUUCUUUUUUUUUUUGAGAUGGAUGACUUUUGACUUUGUAAUAUUGGCAUAUGAAGCUAUCUCCCCUCCUAAUGGAGCAGUUGACGUCCACAAAGAUGAGUCAUUGUCAGCUUGAAACUUUUGAUGAGCUCGGGCCCAUAACAUACAUGCCUCAUAAGUCUUGACUCCCUUAAAUUUGGCAUUCAUUGUACAACUGAUGCGAUCCCUUUUCAUGGUGGACCAACAAUGCCUCAAAACCUCAUGUUUAUUCUGGCAAUUGCAAAUCCUCCUACAUGCGUUUUUGGACCACAUUUUUGAAUUCCCAUAAUAGUCUCAACAAGGUCUUGUCUUGUCUCCUCAGCUAAUUCCAAUUUCACAAUCUUUCCUUCCUCUAAGGCUAUAUUUCCUACCACCACUUCAUGGGGUAAAAACCAUUUUCAACAAAUUCAGAAACAAGUCACAAUUUCUGUCACCUUCAAAGUACUGAGAUUCCUCUAAACACAUAUUUUACUCAAAAGAAACUCUGAAUCUGUAGUAUCGUUGCCCGUGUCAUUGAUAUCUAGGAAUCUAUGAUAGGCAGAUAAAAGAAUAUACAAGGAAUAAAUGAAUUCAAAAAUGACUAUUUACAUGAAAUGAAAAUUUAUAAAGAAUGUCAAAGGUCAAAAGAAUCAGAAUGAAAGAAUAUUUACUUGGAUGAAUAAUAAAAGUAUGUUUUAUUGAAAAUAAAAAUGUCUGAACAUGAGCCCACUUCUCAAAAGAAAUCUCAUUACUCCUAGGCUUUAGAGCAACAAGAGUGUUCUGAAUAUUACUCCGUAAAAUUCCUAAAGAUUACAGGAAGUUCUUCUGCAGUCCAAUUGUUUAAAGAAAUUCCCGGUUCGUAAGGGCGAAUGCCCUCAAGGUUUCUUUGUUCAGUCCCUUCCCCAUGUAUGAGAUUGAUGGGAUGAUUUUCAUUUCCAAACACCCCCUUCUCCGGGUAAGCUAUCCCUCCUGACACAAAAGUUGAGGAUAUGUAAGGGAACGUCGUUAAUUCCCAUUCAACUUCUUUUUCACUCAGCUGUGACCCUCUUCUCUCUCUCUCUAUUUUUCUUUCUCUUUUUAAUAACUUUAACUAAUUAGGGUCCUUUUAUGGAUUUACAUGCAUUUGAUGUGAUGCAAUUCAAAUGCAUGAAUGCAAAAGAAAAGGAGAUGUUGAUCUUGAAUUCAAUUCCAUUAGAAUAACUUUUCUAGAAAACAGAUUUCUUUACAUGAAAAUAGAUUACAUAUGCGAUCUUGCCCUUCAUAGUCCAAGUAAACGCUGAUCUUUUCUUCAUGGUCGAAUCCUGUAAAUUCUCCAAAAGAUGUCUUUGCUAGCUCCUUGCUGCUUAAUCUGAGCCUCGAUCUCUUACUCGCUUAUCUUCAUGAUACUCAUUAAAAAGUGCCGACUCUUGGAUAAUCUUCGUUGGCAAUUAAAUCAAGUCAUGUAUUCCUUCGUGGACUUCCGGCUUUCUCUCCUCAUGAUCUUGGACUACCAUCUUUCUCUCGUUGUGUUUACUUGGACUAUAUUCAGACGACCGCACUAUAAUCUACUUUAUUAAGAAAUUUGUUUCCUUAUGACAAACUAUUCUAUUUAGGAAUCGAAUUUCGAAUCAACACAUUCUUUUCUUUGAUGUAAUGUAAUGCAAAUGCAUGAAUGCAAAAAGGUAUUGAUCUCGAUUCAGUUUCAUUUUAGAAAACGUUAUUUAAGGAACAAAAGUCUUUUCAUAAAAUGGAUUACAAAUACGCUUUCGCUCGUAGGCCCAGAGUCUUAACCCUAUCUAAUAAAAAAGCUAACUCUCGACCUCUAUCUGAACUGUAGCUCAUAUUGGUGUUCAACGUGCUUGCCCUUUCUACCAGUAUCUAUAAAUGAUCAGCUAUCUCUUGAAUUUGAAUUACAGCUUCACUUAUGAAGUAAGCUCUACAGCCAAAGACACCUCCUCUAAUGUUUGUGAAGUUGCUCUGAUUACCUUGAAAGAAAGAUUAGCGAACAAGUAGGCAUUCCAGCUUCGCAGCAUACUACCUUAAAAUGAUAUCAAACAUCCUCAGUGCUUCUUGAGAGUCUUUAAAUUUCUACCUCCACAGAACAUUUUGAAUUGCUUGCAUGGGUAUCUUCGCAACAUAGCUAAUCUCCACUUUAAAGGUCUUUAAACAAUACGAUCUUCUUUAAUCUCUUUCUUUCAUGCUCAUUUGGGUUGUCCUGGUCAUCAGGGCUUACAUUUCCAUUAUUUCUGAUAAGUACAACAUCCUAAAGUACCACAGCAAAUUCCAGCUUGUUGUUUGGUAGCGGUUCUAUAGUAAGUGAGUCUUUCUACCAUCAUAAGCAAAAUUAUUUCCAUCCAAUUCAAUUUUGUAGGUUUUAAACCCUUACCAUCCACGAGGUGACUAUCUUCAUCUGUAAUGGUAGAAGUGUCCAUCAGUACUCCCCACGCUCACCUUGAAUUGUUCAUCUAUCUUCAUGUCAAGCAAAUACUGCAAUUCCCCAUAACUGUUGUAGAACAACUGUUUGGCUUCGUUACUCCAUUAAUCCCAUAUUUCCUUUAACUCUUGGAGGUUAUUUUGCAUCACACUAAUGAGAGUGUAGUCCCAUAAUUCUGAUGUGUAUCCUUCGAUGACACUAUUUCCUUUUUCUAUCUGGGUUUUCUCUGACCAAGCACAAACGAAAGAGUUGUCCUCCACUUUAUUAAGAUAUUCGUUCCCCGUUACAAAACUUUCUAACUCAAAAAUCGAACUUUGAAUCGACACCUUUUAAUGAUAAAUGACAUGGAAUGAUAGUAAAAUAAGAAAACAAGUCAGUGUCACAUAUAUAAAAAAUAUAAUAAAUAAGAACUUAUAAAGGUAGGCACUAAAGGUCAUCAUCAUACUACCUGGGGCAAGCACUUAAAGUUCACUAUAUGUAGUUCGGUUCUAAAGCAAGGGUACCUGAACCAGCAGAUUCUUCGAUCCUCACCAAUUAUAGGCUCAUAUGGACCAAGUUCGGUUCAGGGUGACACAUUUCCCUAUGGCCAUGCGGAGAUGAAAAUCUCACGAAGACAUAGGUACGGAUGUAUCCCGGAAGCAAUCCACUAGCCCAUGCGGAGGUGAAAACCUCACGAAAGCAUAGCUUCUCACUCCCACUUAAGGGUGUGACCACAACGGUCAUGCAAAUGCAAUCUGUGCGUAAACAAUAACAAACAUAUGCAACUAACACCUGUAAAAAUGACAUAUUUUAAAAAUUUUCCAAAUUUUCGACAUUAAGACAGAAAAUAAUCAAUUUUCGACUUGACCCUCUUAUAGGUCCCCAGUGGAGUCGCCAAGCUGUCGAAACCAUUUUUUAAAGGGGGUGUUUGAAAAACGGGGAUCGACUUUUGAAAAACAAAAACGGGAGUCGCCACCAAUCUUUUUAGGUGUGAUUGGAUCACCUUAUAAAAUGUUUUAUUUUAAAACGUUAAUUUUGGUCUACGAAAUUAUGAGAAAAAUAGGUUCGGGAGUCAGUUACGUACGAGGAAGGAUUAGCACCCUCGUAACGCCCAAAAUUGGUACCAAAUUGAAUAAUUUUUUGUCUUAAUGUCAGAAAAUUUGAAAAGAUUUUAAAACUUGAACAAUUUAAAGUUGAAACUUGAGAUUCCUUUGUUUCGAAAGUAUACAAACAUCACAUCCAGCAUGUUAGGACACACGAUGUUUUAAAUCCUCGUAACUAAAAUUAUCUCAUGAUUUCGAAAAUUUAUUAAAAUGAUAUUUGGUUAUUUAGUCAAACGAAAAAAAAUCGCAACCCAGCAUGUUAGGGCACUAUUUUCCAAAUUUCUAAACACCAAACAUUGCCUUAUUUAAGAAAAAAAAAUUUCAAUUAAAUGAAAUAUAUUUUUUAAAACAAUGAAUAAUAUAGAAUUUAAUAAAAAAUAAUUUGAUAUAAAUACUAAAAUUAUUAAAAAAAUAAAAUAUAAAAGAGAAUUUAAAAAAUUAAGGAGAUAGGGAUUAAAUAAAAAGGUUGAAAACGAAGAUGAACAAAGAAUAAAUAAGAAUAAACAGUAGAAAAUAAGAACGCAAGAGGGUGAGAAAUUUGAGUGAAUGCUCUCAAGAAUUCUUAUUGCUUCCCAAAACUUAAGUGAAGUCAAGUUGUUUUACAAUGAGGGGAGAGGCCUCUAUUUAUAGUUAAGCCUCCCCAAAUCCAACGGUACAGAUCAAUUACAUCAACGGUUAAGAUUAAAGGAUAUCUACAAAUUAAAUCUCCAAGAUUACAAAAUCAUAUCUUCUAAGAUUGUAUAUCAUAUCUAAGAUUGCAAUCAUAUCUAAGAUUGUAUCAUAUCUAAGAUUGCAAUCAUAUCUAAGAUUGUAUCAUAUCUAAGAUUGCAUAUCACAUCUAAGAUUGCAUAUCAUUGAAGAUUAUAUUUCCAUAUGAGUCAAACUUGUAGAUGGACCUUAAAUCUUUUCAAGUAAUGGGCCAUUUCGAUCGGGCCAAAUUAUAUUUGUAAUUCUGUACUGAACUUGGACUUCGUUUUUUUUUUGGGGAGAGGUUUAUUAUUUUUGGAUUAUUUCUGGGUCCGGGCAAAAUUGAGUGUCUACAUCGCAAUCUUCAAUGUGGGUAGAAUUCCUCGAGGAAUCAUGAUCAUCACCCUCACUCCAAAAACAAGAUGCAAGGAGAAGUUGGAAUCCACUGUAAACAAAGGCUGAAAGCAUCUACCCUUCUCUCUAAACUAAGUUUAGGCUCUUAAAUUACUCCAGUGCUUCUUGAGCACCAAAGUCAACAAUUUUACUAUACCCGUCAAUAGUAAGUAGCAAUUCUUUGGCUGGUGAAGAACAAUACUUUACAUAAGUUGUUUUAUUUUCCUUAGUGACCAUUCCCGUAUCCCUCACAACCUAAUGACAACAUUAAUAUUCCAAACAAAGCUCACAUGGUAAGCCCUAAGCUUAGCAUAAAAAUUGAAAAAACAAAAAUGAAUAAACCCCAAGUUUAAUUAUUAAUCAAUCAUAACUCUUAACUAAAAGUCUGCAAUGCAAACCAUCAACAUAUAUAGCAUAUCAUAAUAUCACACAAGUUUGCUAAUAUAAUUAUUAUUUUCAUAAAUUUAUUUAAUAUUACAAAUUUAACUUUAAUAAUAUUUUGAUUAUUUUAUUUAAAAUAUUCUAUCUUAAUAUUUUAUUAAUAAAUCACUUUAUAAAUAUUUAGAAAUAAAUGUUUCAUAAUAUAAAAUAUGAAUAUUUUAAUAAUAUAAAUAUGAAGUUUUAUCACACCCGUUUACAAUGUGUCAUUAUCUACCCUCGUAUAUGUUAUAUGUUAAUUAAAUUUUAAUUAGAUAUUGAUUAUUAUCAAAACUAUAUAAGAUAUUAAUUAUUACAAAAUAUUAUUUUAUUAUAAAAUAAAUUUUAGUUCUCAAAAAAAUGUUUAUAUAAGAUUUGUAACAAAUAUAAUAUGUUAUGUUUAUUUUCCUAAAAAAAGACUUCCAAAAUAAUAAAAAAAUAUUUUACAAAACCAUUCAAAAACUAAAAAAAUAUCAACUUUUAUAUUUUUUUAAGGGAAUAACUUAUAUUAGGAUCAUCCUAAUAAAAUUUUCUCACAUCAUCACAUUUUAAAGACGUGAAAUUACUAUUAUAUACCCAUCCAUAUUCAAUCUACUCUCCAACUCUAAGUUUUUUUAUUUAAAAAACCAUAAGUAAUUAAAAAAAUUCAAAUAACAUAGAAACUUAUAAAAUUUACGCAAUAUUCAAUGUAAUAUAAUUUUUACUUUUACUAAAUUUAGUUUUUAGGUAGUGUAUUUUUUUCUUUUUUGCAUUUAAAAUUAUUUUCUAUUUCAUAUUAUACAUUUUUUUAAAUGUAACCCAAACAAUGAUUGAUCUCCACAAAAAAUGCUUUGCCAGUACCACCACCACCAUAUAUGAAAAAGAACACAUCAAACUUAUUAUACAUAAAAUUAACAACUGCAUCAUAAACAGAUUUUGGUCAAAGUUUAAGUCAUUAUACAUUGUGCUCACGAAGUAAAGCAAUUCUAUCAUAAAUAAUUUCUUCCAUAACUAAGAAAUUAUGUUUAUAUUGAAUACGUAUCAUAUUUGGAAGAGGAACAUAUUUUUAAAUUUCUUCUAUGGUAUACUAUUUCUAUUCAUUGUCUUUUUAAUAUCAAUCAAACUGAUAUCAUAUUUUAAAAAAAAAACAUAUUUUUAAGUUUCCUCAAUGAUCUAUCAUUUCUAUCCAUUGUGUUUUCAAUGUCAAUCAAAGCGAUCAUUCCCAAAGUCAAAAAGUUUAUAAGCAAACCUUUGACGAUGAAAAUAUCUUCAAAUAAUAAUUCUUAAUUCUUAGACCAUAAUUUAGAAAAAUUAUCAACUUCGUAAAACAAAAUGAUAAUUACAAAAAAAUUUUAUGUAAUUGAUAAUCUAUAGCUCGGAAAAAUGUUUCAUGUAAUGUCUCAUGCCACUCAUGAAAUAAUUUAUAAAACAAAAUGAUAAUUACAAAAGAGGCAUGGGACAUUACGUGAAGCAUUUUUUCAAGCUAUCGAUUAUCAAUUACAUGACUUUUUUGUAAUUAUCUUUUGUUUUAUGAAGUUGAUAAUUUUUCUAAACUAUGGUUCAAGAAUUAGGAAUUAUUAUUUGAUGAUAUUGAAAAGACAAGGAAUAGAAAUGGUAGAUCAUUGAGGAAAUUUAAAGCUAUGUCCUUUUUUAAAUAUGACACAUCUUCAAGAUAAACCUAAAAAAAACACCCACCUAACACUUAACAAGGGAUGAGUAGUGUUUUGUAAAAGUUUAUUAAUGCCUAAAAACCUUGCGUCAUGUUUGGUUGGCUAUAAUAGCCAUUCCAUGACUGGUCAAUUUGGUGAUAAACAGUGAUUCCUUCGUUUGGUUCACCAAAUCAUUCAUUCCACCAAAUCGUCACUCAUCUCUUAUUACAACUUCUCCGUAACAAGCAUUCCUCACAAUACCUAAAGAAUAGCUUGAGGAAUAAAGAAAAAAAAACCCUAACCUAUCAUUGUUGCCCUUUAUCACUCUCAACCUCACCAACACUUCAAGCCACCACACCCUCAAGUAAUUGACAGAGUUGAUCCUCGAAGCUUCCCCAAAGUUGAUCCUAGUAAGGUUAAUAUUCCCCUCAAUCUCACUUUCAUUGUUACAAUUUCAUCUCUUUUCUUUUCUCCUUAAAAAUCUAAACUUAUUUAUAUAUUGGGUUCAUCCCUCUAACUUUAAAGAAGAAUCUUGUAUAAAACAAGAAAAUUUCUUGUUUGCCAAGUGAUUGAUCAGAGAGAGUGAGUGAAUUAGCGAUAAUGGCAGAAGCAGAGAAAUUUUUGGGAUCUAAUAACAUUGAAGAUAUACUAAAAAAAAAUAGAAAACAAAUCUCUAAAGAUCGAGUGCUUAAUUAAACAGUUGAAAUUUCUAAUACGAAUUUGAGUUUUCCUUUUAAGAGUUUUGAAAUGAAAAAUUUCUAUAGGAUUGAUUUGUUUCUAUCUGAGGUAUAAACCCAUUGAAGCUAUUAAAACUAUGCUCAAAUGUUAUCCCCUCCAAUACGAACGGUGCAAGGUUUGGUACCCUAAAAAGAAUUUUUUUUUCCCAUUUUUUUCAUUUUAAUUUGGAUAUUGGCAUUUGCAGCCUAUGAAUUGGAUAAGUGUGCAUGAAGCAUUAAUAGCUAUAAAAGAUGUUGAAGGAAUGAUCUAUUCUUUAGAUCCCUAAUACUAUGAUAUUCUUAUGAAGUGAGUCUUUUCUUUUCUUUUGGAAUUUCACUUGUAUAUUUCAUUCAAUGACAAGGUCUCUUUCAAAGUUUUUAAACAAGAUUGAGAGUAUUUGAGCAAAACGAAAUCUGGUCUAAUAUGUUUAAGUCCUCAUGGAAUCUGCUUUUAUGCUUUUCCUUUUUUAGUUUGUUAGUGCACUGUAACACCCCUAACCCAUCUCCGUCACCGGAUUAGGGUUACGGAGCAUUACUGUACAAAUCAGAAUAAUUAAUUUUAAAACAGAUCAAUAAUUCCAUUUAAUCUUAAUUACCAAAAAUUCAUUAUAAACCUAGCAAACAUACAGAUUUGAGCCUUAAAUCGAGCCUUCUAGGCCCUAAAAAUAGUUCGAGAACAAUCCAGGACUAAUUUAAAACAAAUCAGAAAAUUUCAAAAAAAGUUAAAAAAUUUGAAAACACGGGUCACACAGCUAUGUGACAUAACUCAGGCCAUAUGGGUAUUCGAAGUUUGGUCACAUAGCCGUGUAACUCAUUGUGACUGUGUGAUUCAUCUUGCAUCUAGAAUUUAAUAAACACAAAGCUGUGUGGGUUGGUUGUGCGUGGCACACUGUCGUGUAACAGCCCGUAUCUUAGGCUAUGUGCACCAAAAUUAACCCUCAAACCAAACCAUUUAAAUACCCAUCCUUGUCCAACAAGAUACAUCAUUUACACAUGUAUUCAUUUGUCCAAAUCACUCUCAAUUCAUGCUAAAUCAAUCAACCUAUGAAUUCUAACCAAUAUGCCAUUCAAAGGCACCACAAUUCACACCAAUUCAUCUAAUUCUAAAACAUACCUUACCAAUUCAUCUAAUUCUAAAACAUACCUUACCUUAAACAUGCAUUAUUACAACCAUGCAUCAUUAGUCAUUUAAAUCAUAUAUAAGCAUGUCUCAAGCCAUAUAUUUACAAUACACCUAAAAGUAAUCAAGAAUACAUCUUGCCAAAACCUUAUAAACCCAAACAAAAACAUUUACACAAAAGGCAUAAGCAAACUAGGUUGACCAAAUAACAUAUAUGUAACACUUAUUCAUUAAGCCUUAUACAUGCCAAAACAUACAUCACACAUUCACAAUUUAGUUACUUCAUUCUCAAAUUAUAUCACUUAGUCACAUUUAUUCACAAGACACACAUAAGAGACCAAACUCACCUGUUAACACAAGCAUAUUCCAACUAAUUUCUAAACAUAUAUAUACGCAAGUAUGUUAAGCAUAGGCUCAAAACAUUACAAAUUAACAUACAACCCUAUACAUACCAUUUAUAACCAUCAGUCUAAAUUAUUCAAAAGCUACCAAAAUAGUCAAUGGAUAGUGUGAUUGUGCUCCGACGAAAAUUUCAACCGAUCAGGCUUUUCGAUGAUCUACAAAACAAAGAAAAUAACUAUAUAAGCACCUAGUGCUUAGUAAGCUUGUAUAAAAGGAAACUUAAACUUACCGAACAUAUUAAAUUAAACAAUCAAAUAUACUUUCACCAUGUCAUAUGCCAAACUUCCUUUCCUAUACACAUUACCUCAUAAGGUUAGUAAAUAUAACAUUACAUUUAAGUUCCAAGUAAAUCAUGGCAUAUAAAUAAUAAGCAUUUAGGCUUUAUACAUCAUCUAUCACAUAUAUAUAUCCAUUACACAUUCUUCUCAUUUGAAUCAACAUAGUUAAUAGAUAAUAAGUAAACAUAACAUCUAUAAAACAUAGCAUAUAUUAAGAAAUGAAUUCCAUGUAUAUUUCAUCCAUCACCUGAUAAAUUCUUAUCCUUUUUAUUUCAUAUAUGCCUAUCUAUCUUUCCAUUUCAUAUGAACAUUAGUAACAUUAAAUUUAAUACAUGUCUUUCCAUUAAUCUUUACUUACCCGUUGAACCAUAUUGAAUUACAUCUGAUACUUGAAAUAAUAUUUUCAAUACAAAUUACCUGACACAAUACACCGCCACAAAGCCUGCUAAGCUCAAGGCCUGAUACAAUACACUGACACGAAGCCUACUAGGCUUACAGCCUAAUACAAUACACCAGCAUGAAGCUUGCUAGGCUCAAAGCCUGAUACAAUACACUAGCACAAAGCCUGCUAGGCUCAAGGCCUGAUACAAUACACUGGCACAAAGCCUGCUAGGCUCAAGUCCUGAUACAAUACUCCGGCACGAAGCCUGUUAGGCUCAAGGCCUGACAGAAUAUCUCAUGUAUAACUCAAUUGCAUUAUUAAUUUCCAUCAACCAACAUUAUAUAAUUACAAACAACAUAACUAGAGUAAAAAAAAAUCAAGGAUUUUAAUAUAAAAUAUAUAUAAUACUAACUUACUUAUACCAAAACGAUGUCUUAACGUGAUCUAACGCCUAAUCCGCUACUUUGAUUUUUCUGUGAUUUAUGUCCGUUCGAGUCAUUUCUUGAUCUAAAUAAUUAUAUUUUUUCAAUUAAUCUCAUUCCAACAUUUAAAAUAAUUAAGUUAAAUUUUAAUCCUUAACAAUGAAAAUUUAUAAAAUUACCCUCAAAGUUUAUCUUUUUUACAAUUUAAUUCCUAAACCCAAAACUUAUAAUUUAACCACUUUUAAUUAAAAUUCAUGCUAGCAGAUUAUUACCUAGCCUUGUAACAGCCCAUAUUUAUCAUCAAUUUACACUAUUUUCCUUGAAUUUUAUAAGUCACUGUGCCUUAAAAUCAUCAAAAAUUUUCUAACAAAAUAUAUUUAUUUAACAUCCAAGCUUAACAAUCUAUCAUAAAACUUUAAAAUAUAUAUCAAAUUCAUCUAUGGCAUAGCUAGAUUAAACUAAUACAUAUAUCAAUUUUACAAAUUGACUUCGGAUUAACUAGAUUAAGCUAACACGAACUCAAAAACAUAAAAUUUACUAGGUGAAAAUUAAAUUUACAUGCAAAUAACCAUGCUUGGCCGAAGCUUAUGAAGCCAACAAUGGAGUUUUCCAUUUUCCUAUUCGGUGAUGAAGAUAGAAAAUGAAGAAGACACAUGCUUUAUUUUCUUUUGUUUUAGAUCUAUUUAUUAAAUUAUUAUAUUAACCUUAAAGUAAACAACUAAAAUUCCAUAUUUGAAACCCUUGAACCGUCCACUAUGGUCUAAAAAGGUAAAUUCCAUAUAAAUCCUUUAAUUCAUGCUUUUAUAUUCAUUUAAUACAAAUAAAGUUAUAGCAAUUAAGUUUUACAUAUUUUACACUUCAGUCCUUUUCAAUUAAUUAAUUAUCUAAACAUUAAAAUUUCUUAACCAAACUUAGUAUGACCCUAAUAACACCCUAUAAAUAUUUAAUAAAUUAUUUUCGAGCUUGGUUUAUAGAAAGGAGGUCCCAAAACCUCAUUUUCUAAAGCCACUUUACUUUAAGGACUUACCACUUGAACCUAAUUAUUCAUUCAAAUAAAAUAAAUUAUCAAAUCAAGAUUUAUUAUAAAUAUUAAAUAGUAAUAUUUACGGACUCACUCGUGGGAUUUGUGGCCCCGAAAUCACUAUUUCUGACACCAUAAAAAAGCGGGUUGUUACAUGCACAAUUGUUGUUGCAUCGAAUGCUACAUUAUUAUUGAUUAAUGAAUAGCUUCAAGCAUCUGCACUUGAUGAAUUUGCAUUUUGUGACUAAAUCUUUUACUAGGUUUGUUGUCCUCAAUGUUGAACAUUUUGCCUAGUGAUGUUAUAGCUCUUGGGGAAACAAUUGCUUUCAUUAUAGGUACACAUGUUUUGUAGUUCAUAUAUGAUUGUUAUGAAUACUUCCAAGUAUGUAUAUAGAGGAUUGUCGACAGGAGAUCGCACCACAAGUGAUUAGUGCCUUAAGAUCCAUGAAAAGCUGAUAGAGAAAGUCGGUUUCGGAUGCAUACUUCGUUUCCUUGUAGACAUUGUGAAUAUGGUUUGACUCUAAUCACCCUUUCUUCCUUUUGAAAAGAAAAUUAUUAAAGAAAUGUUCAGCAUUUCCUCUUCAUUGUUCCACAUGUAUGUGAACCACAAAUUUUGUCUAUCACUGAAUGAUUAGAGGUAGAACUAUGAUUUAUCAUAAAUUAAUAAUACAAAUAUAUGACUUUUUAGAUGGGGUCAUUGCAAGUGUUUAAUUAUCAAAUCAUAUUACUAGUGAAUCAAUGGUUUUUCUCUAUUUACUACAUUUUUCCCUUUAGUAUAUAAAUCUUGUUACUUAUUGAUUGCAGUGAAAUUGUAAGAACAAUGAGAUUAAUUUAUCAAGCUAGGAAAGAAAAAAGAGUGGAGAUGAUCUAGUCCAUAAAUUAAGGGUCUAGUUAUAAGCAUAGGUUAAUUAUUAUAGAAAAUUCUUUUACAUUUAAUACAAUUUUUAUCAAAUUCUAAAAAAAAUGCAUUAAAAACACCUUGUUCUUUAAAUGUCAUCUUAACAUGAUCAAUAAGUAGGCAGGGGUUAAUAUUUUCGAUUAAAUUAAUUGUUAUUUGUAUAACUGAAAUUAGUUGUCAUUAUUGAAACUAAGUGCAUUAUUGAGGACUUAGUUCUUAAUGUAUAGUUAUUAGCGGAUUGAAUGCAUUUGAAGUCGUUUUCACCAUUAUCGGUUUCUCCUCCAUGUUGUUGUGCUUUGCCUAUUGGAAACUUCUAUCAAACAACUAUUACUUUGUCUGUACUUUGAGCUCAAAGGAGUACUUAUGAGAUAUAGCUCUUUCAGAGUUGGUAAUCUAUAGAGGUCUUAUUUACUUUUCACCUCGAUUGUAUACACAAAAAAAAAAGUCAAUGUCAAACUGUUGUUACUCUUUUUUCUAUUUUUCUACUUUGGUGCUUGGAGGAGUACCCUCUUUACAAAAAAAUAUUGUUUGAAACUCAUAUAUAAGUGUAAGUUUUUAUUAUCUUGUUUUAAAUUUAUAUUUAAUGUAGAUUUUUUAUUUUUUUAUUGAGUCAUAAAUAAGUCAGUCAAUUCAGAUAUUGCAGAUCAAUUUACUUCCAUAUAAGCAAAAAAUUGAGUCAUUAAAAAUUAUUAUUGUUGAUGAUGUAAUAUUUAGACGAUAUAAUGAUAGGAUAGACUGCAAUAAACAGUUUUUACUUCUUCUUUUUUUAACGACUUAAAAGUUAACAUAAUAUUAGUUAUUAAAUUUUAAGUAAUACAAAAAGGAAUAUAAAUUUUUGCUGUUUUUAGAAUUUCCUCUAGUGGGCAGUGUUAUUUAAAGCAGCGAUUGAGAAAAUGGCAGACUUGAUCUGUGUUCAGCUCUCUGUUAUUUGGGUCUGAUAUAAUUUAUUGGCGUUGGAAACGUCAGCCAGCCACCCUUCAUUGGUACAUCCUUCUUGCAGACCAUCAUUUCUUUCUUUUUAUUACCAUCAUUUUCUUUAACCAAAUAUGAAACUCUCGAAGAUGGCUAUGGAAUGUUUCAGGGUUUUCUUCUUUGUUCUACUCUUCGCUGCCUCUCCUCUUCUCCAAGGUCUGUAAAUUACUAUUUCAGAUCUAAAUCUAUUAUCCUCUUUGAUUAAACAUUAAAUAGCUAUUUCUGCUUACCUAUCGCCGACUCUGGAUCUUACUUUUGGAUUUUCCUCUUGCAUUCUUACGUCCCAUUGUUUUGAUCUGAAUUGAUUUUCUUUAUUUUGAUUCAUGAUUCGAUAAGUGUGAUUUUGGCGUGAUUUCUUUGUUUUCUAAAUCUUGGUUGCAUUGCAUGCCCUUGACAUUUCAUUUUCAUUUGAUUUCUUUUUCAGAAAACAGACAAGCUUGGCCAUCGUUUUUCUACCUUUUCUACCGAUACUUAAGUGGUUAUUUAGCUUUCUUUUUUGCUCUAAGAAAAGGCAACGAAAAGCGUUCUUGUCAAGCACUUCUCGUUUUUGGCUAAAAUGCUUGUCAACUACUUUGAUGCUCUUUUCUGUAACAUUCUUGAAGUAGUAUUUCCAGAGUUGAAUUUGUUUGUUGCAUUUUUUUUGUUUACCUUUUGUUGAUCAUAAAUUAAUAAAUAGAUAAAUAAAUUGUCAAUAUUGUUUUAAAUUAUGUUGUGACUUGAAUUUUUUCUUGUGUGAUAGUUGCUAGGUGUCAAUCAGAAGCAGACGUAGAUGUUGCUGAAGCUGUUGAAGGAGGUGAGCUUGGGAUUGUUGGCGAGGAUGUUCAGGAUUUUGGUGAUGGGAAUUUUGGCCCAGCGCCGGGAGUUGAAACUGUAUGCAUUUUCCCCAAAAAUAGUGCGAAAUGUAAGAACAUUUCGAUGUAUGAUUUUGUGAGUGAUGUGCAUUUUUAUUUGAUUGGAAAUGGUUAACCUCUUCCCCCCCCCCCCCCUUCUCUCUUGGCAGUGGUUGUGGCUGGAGAAGAGACUGAACUUUUAGUUGGGAUGGAAAAUGUUGGUAAUUAGUUUGUCUUCACAACAUUACUGGCUCUUUUUACAAUGCAAUUUGAUGUUAUGUGUUGAAAUAAGUUAAUUUAUCUGUCCUUCUUCAGUUCAUUUGCUAGAUUUCAAUGCUUACCAGUUUUGCAUUAGCCAUGCCAGUUCUCUCUUAUGCUUAGGGGUCACCUUUAAAUAGCAUUGCAAUCCAAGCAAGUGUUCAUCUCCCUUUCGAUCAUCGAAUGCUUGUACAAAAUCUUACAGCGCAGGUAAUCAUAGGUUUUCAUAAUAUUGUUCUGGUAAUAUUUUUAAAACUCAUGCUUUGGUAUCUAGUGCAGUUUUCAUUUUGAUUGAUUUCUGUUCUUAAUUUCUGUCAUUUCCUAAUUUAAAAACUUUACAUUAUUGAAUAUCUUGCCUUUUAGUUUUUUUUAAGUUAAUGCAUUCAUUGUUUUUUUUUUUUCUUCUAGAUCAUUAUUUGCUGCUUAUCCUAUUUUGUUGUCUACUUGGUUAAAAGGUGUUGACUAAAUCUAUGGUAUCUUUAUUGAAUGUCUUAAAUAUCCAUUAUCAAACAUGUGGCUAGUGAUGAGUUUUAUGUGCUGUGACUGAUUCUUUUGUGUUCCUCUUGCUACUGCUUACCUACUUUAAUGAGCUUUAACAGUGAUAGUUCAGUUCAUUAUUUUUGCCCAAUAAUAUGAAGAUGGAUGUUGAACUUGCAUUUAGAUUGGUUUAAGAAACAUUGGCAGAGUGUGUUACCAAUGUAGAUUUUGCUGUGUCUUUAACUUUCAGGCUAGACCCUACACUGAUUUUGUGAUUAUACUGAGUAUAUCAAUACAGUAUAUAGAUAUCAUACUCUAAUUGCUCACUGUGCAAUUGUAAUGUUUUGCUGCUGGUUCUGACAUUUGGCUUUUUGUUUUCUUUUGUGCUUUACCUUAAAGCCUAAACCCUAUAAAAUGCUUCUUGCUUUAUUUGAAAAGGAUCUUAAGCUUCUUCAUUGCUAAAACAUUAUGGCCUAUGUUGUUGGAUUGAAACCGCCUUGUGACUUUUGCAUGUAAAUUUUGUAACUGAAAGUGUGUUGUUUUAAUACAGACCUUCAACAAAGCAUCUGUGUCCCCUUCAGUGCAAGCUACUUUCCCUUACAUGUUUGCUGUUAGCAGGUACUUACAGGUAAAUAAAAACUCGGGGAGUUCUAUGCUGUAGAACUUUAUAUAAAUACCUUUUUGUGAGGACAGUGUUGCAGUUAAGCUUACAUGUCUAAAACAUUGAUGCAGCCCGGAACUUUUGAUCUUGUGGGUACGAUUGUCUAUGAAAUUCACCAGAAACCAUACCAAAAUACAUUCUACAAUGGUACCGUUGAAGUUGUUGAGGCUGGUGGUUUCCUAAGUGUUGAGUCUGUUUUUCUUGUUACCCUUGGGAUUGCACUUCUUGUUCUCCUCGCCUUAUGGCUUCAUGGUCAACUUCAGCUUACUACAAAGGUAUUGUAAUUGUGCCACCUUCUUCAGUUGUAUUAAUUUACUCUAGUAACUAUGUACUAAAAUAAAGUAUGCAUGAGACAGGAUUAACAUUUUCUCCAAACUAUUUGUUAUAAUACCUAAUCAAACAGGGCCUUUUGCUGAAUGAAAAUAUUGAUGGAUAUCUCGUAGAAAAGAGCACACCCACCAUGUAUACAUGGGGUCAAAUCUACAUUGUCCUAGCAUGAUUGACCUAUUUCAAAUUGUCCAGAAAGCUAUUGUGCUGUGAAUGUUAAGUAUUUGUAAAUUUUUUUGUUUUUGCACUUGCAAGAUUACUUUAUUGUUGCAUGCAUACUUGUAAGGAGAGAGAGACAGAAGGAAAAGUGCUUGCAUCUAUUUUUUCAUGUUUCUUGUAUUUCUUAUUUUUAAUUUUUUGCGGAGUGAACCUAAUAUGUUUGCCUUUAUUGUUUGUUUUUGCUAGAAAACUAAGAAUGCUCCAAAGGUGGAAGUCGGAACUGGGACUACUGAUGCCUCAUUGGAUGAAUGGCUUCAGGUUAUGCAUCGUCAUUUACUUCCCAUAAUUUUCUAGUGCAGUUAUUGUUCUCUUUUUUCUUUUCGGUCUGUUCACCCUCUACUACUCGUAUUAUGGACCUCUGUCUUAAAUAAGUUAAAUAACAAUCUUAGUAGGGUUUAGCUGAAAAUUUCCUGAUUUGGAUGUCUUAAUUUUCAGGGAACUGCUUACACUCAGUCAGCUUCCAAAUCAAAGAAAAAGAAGUAGAUGGGGCAGUGUUUCUGAAGUUAGGCUAUUGCAACACAUGCUAGGCAUUUGGAAAAUUUCAAAGUGAAGGCACAAGUAGUUUGAGAAUUAGGCCAGGAAAAGGCAUACCUUGCUGUUGUAGCAUGUGAAAUUAAGCCUUUUUGAAGCAAAAAGGUAAGAAGCAGAAGGUUCAAUUUUAUUUGAGGAAAAUUUCCGGAUAACAUUAUAUUUUCUUGCCCCCAACCCACCAACAUUUGCUUCUUGUUUUCUAGGUUGUGGUAGAUAAAAAUUCUUGCUCAUGGAUUCCGGGUUUUGCUUGAUUGGUCUAUACAAUUUCUCUCUCAAAAGAUUCCAAAGUCUAAUGGUUGUUGGUCGAUGUUUCUUGGACGGGAACGAUAGUCAAACCGUUAAGAUCAUCAGUUUUUGGUUUGAUUUGUUCGUUCAGUUCAAAGUAAACAAAUUUAUUACAAAUUUUAAAAAAAAUAUAAAAUCUAGUUUAAUAGCUUUGUACUAAUUCGUGGGUCAAUUUUUUGUUAGAUCAGUCCAAAUAACAUUGUUGUUUGUAGUAUCAUCCUUUAUUUUUAAACAUGAUGGAGCAUAAAGGUUGGGACUUUUAAUUUUGUUGAAGACUAAUCGUAUUUUUAAUGAUGAAUGAUCUCGUCGUAUUAUUCUUACAAUUUUGUUUACAAAAAAUGUUAUUUUUAAUUUACUCGAAUAAUAUUUUUAAUAAAAUUUUAAAUAUAGAUAUUUAAAAAAGAUGUGAGGAAUAAUAUCAACUUGCGGAUAUGCUAAAAUCAUCCAUCGUCGCAAAAUCUUGUUUUAGGCUUAAAAUGAAAGUCGUCCAAGAUGGGUCCAACUUCGACCACUAAUUUAAAGUACCCAAGUGUAUGACUAUAUAAAAUUCAAUUGUAGGUGAUGAGAUAUUACCUAAAUUUGGGGCAUUAAAACCCUCCACAUCUUUGAAUGUGACUAUUAAUCCAAAAAAUGUGCUAUGAGGUUAUCACUUGUCUAAAACAUUGCUUCAAUACCCUUUGCCCCACUCACAUAAUUUACAAUUUUGCUUUGUUAUCAUUUGUGGUUUGUGAAUUUAUAUCAUUCACAAUUCAUCUCACCAAACAUUAGGGUGCAUAAUAAAUCAUAAUAGUCCCUAAUUUGCUCAAAUUCAGUAGUCUUUUGACCCCACGUUUAUUAUGCGACUUGUACCUAUAUUUUCAACAUUAAUUCUUUUCAAGAUUUUAUCAACAGCUUUAUGCUUUUUUUAUAAAAAGAAAAAUUAAUUUCUUUGAUGUGAUCAUGUUUGUUGAUUUAAGUAUACUAUUAUCUUACAAACAGUCCUUUUAUCAGAUAAAGACCUAUAAUUAUCUGAAAAAUAACUAUCGAAAUUCAUGAUCAAAAAACAAAUGUCGAAAUCUAUUAUCUUUUCAAGGCAUCAUUAAGUACUAGUUUUAACUCGUGUGUUGCACGUGAAGAAUAUAAUAGUAUAUGUUUUAAAUAAUAUCAAUGCAAUAAAAAUACUAUUAUUAACAAUAUUUUGUGAAAUAAAGUAAUUUAUAUAAUUUAUAAAUUCAUGAAUCAAUUCAUAUUAAAAUAAUUCUAUUUUUAUUUAAUUUAAAAUUUUAUAUAUUAUUAAAAAAUUAUAUAAUAAAGAUAAUAAUAUAAGCAAAUAUAAUUUAAUUAAUGUUUAUGAUUUCAUAAUGUAUUAGGCAAUUAAAAUAGGUAAUGUGAAUAAUAAUGAGUAAAUUUUGCUUAAUUAUUAAAUAUAUAAUAAAUAACUAAAAUACAAUCGGUGUAAAAAAAAACAUAAUAAUUUUUUUAACCUUCCAACUUUACAAAGAAAGUCAUUUUAACCUUUCAUUUAAUAUUGUCUUUUUUAGCUUUUAAACUUGCAUUUUUUUAUCAAAUCAUCUUAAAAUAGAUGAAAAAGUUAAUGUUUUUUCACUUUGCUGACAUGGCAUACAUAUUGAUUACUACGUGGAUGACACAUCAACAUUUUAUUAAUUUUUUAAAAUUUUAAAAAUUCAAAAAAUAUUUUUAAAAAUAAAAAAUCAUUAAAAUUAUUUUAAAAUUUUUAAAAAAUUAAUUAAAUACUAACAUGUCAUCCACAUGUAUGCAAAAACAACAAAAUUAACAAACAUAUUUAAAUGGAAGACUAAAAUUACUAUUUUAUUUUAUAAAAUUGGAAACCAAAAAUUUCAUUAUACCUAAAAAAAAUUCUUUUCUUCAACUAAAUAUAAAUUUUAUUAAUGAAAAACGAAGUAGACUGAAAGAGAUCCUUGGUUUGAGGGGACUUUAACCUCUUAUUCAAUAAUUCUUUAUUGAAUAUAAUGCCCUAAUCUAAUAGCUUAUAAUCCACAACACGAGACCGGAUAACAAAGCACUCUUUAACACUAAUAUAGAAACUAAUGCAAAUCAACAUAAAAGCUCAACCACCAACCAAUCAACAUUUUUAAGUAAUCCAAAUAAAAUAAAUAACUAUAUUCAGUAACAGACUCAGAAAUUUUUUGGAGGGGUUGGGGAAUAAAUUGUAUAUUUUUAUAAUAGUGAAAAUGUAAUUUUAUCAUUUUAUAGUAUAUAUCUUUAUAAUUUUUGUUAUUUUUUAGAGGGUAAAGUAUAAUUUUACUGUUGCCAAUUUAAAGUUAUAUAAAUUAUAAAGAGUUUAAAUGGAAAAUUAUCCAUUUUAGGAGGUCAAGGCCAUAUAUCACCAACUUGGUUAAAUGUAAAGAUUAGUGCACCAAAAAAACAAUAAUAUCCCUUUCAUUAAUAAAUUUAUAAACUUCCUUUAUAAAUAAAUUCAUUUAACUUGGACUCAAUUGUAUAACCUUCACAAUAUUCUUUUCUUUCCCUAUCCUAUCGAACAACAAUUAAAAUCUCUAAUAUUUAUCACCCGAAUGAAUCUCAUUUGAUAGUUAGUCGUGCUUAAUAAUAUUUAAAUUCGUGAUAAAUAUAUUUAAAUAAAAUCUAAAUUAAUUUUUUAUUAUAAUUAAUAAUGAGCAUGUAUAACAAUUAUCUAAAUAAGUACUACUUUAAGAUGUAAUUAUAAUUUAAAAAUUACCAAGUAUAUAUGUUGUGCAGUAUUUACAAUUUUAAAAUAGUUGCUUCAUGGAUUUUAUUAAUUAGUGCAUUAAUAAAUCAACCACAAAGCUCAGCUUAUUUGUGAUUUGCACAUGAGAAUUAUUCAAAAGCUAUCAUAUCUAAAUUAACAUGCCAGUUUUGGCAAAGCUAGUAAAAUCUCAUUGAUGGCAAAAAGUAAGGGUAAAUUCGAAAUUUUCUUCAAUUUAGCUGGUAGCCUAUUUAAGUCUCUUGCUUCAUCAUCACUUCUCUCAACGACACAUGCAAUGGUAGCUAUGGUCCCAAGUUUAGGUCAUUAAUAAAUAAAUAAAAUAUCUUACAAAUUUUAGUCUAUGCUUUAUGCUCCAUAAGCUGAAAUUUUGAAUUUAUUUAAGUUUAUAAUAUUAUUAGGAAAAAUAAUCACAAUCGUCUAAUAUGAAUCAUAAAAGUGGAUAUAAAAAAAAUUGACAGUAAUGAAAAAGCAAUUCAACAUAUAGGACAAUUGAAGUCAUUAGUUGGUUGAUUCACGUGAAGAUGUCAACUUUGUAUACAAAACUAUGCAAGGAUGUGAGAAAGUUGAGACUUAUAAGAUUUAAUUUAAUAUUUGUAAGGACUGAUUUGAUAGUUGUAUGCUGCUUUGUAAUGAACAUUUUUGUAAUUCAACCAGAAAUCAUGUAUAAGCAAAGCAAAGAUUAUAUUUAUGAAAGUGAGUAAGUAGGUUUAAACAGACAGCCUGUUUGUAGUUGAGAACUCAUUGAAUGAAAGAUAAUGUCAUUUGCACGAUGAAGCUGGCGUGGCACACAUUUCUUUUUCAAACCAUAUAACAGCAAAAGGGGAGGGGGGUCCCCAAUUCAUGUGAGGCUUUAAGUGAGGUGUCGGUGAGGCUUUGCAUUUGAUUCCCUUUAAGAUCAUUAUAUAAUAAAGCCUCUGUAUAUGCAAUCUGAUCAUCAUCACUCAAAGAUUAUUUUGUUAUGUGCUUGGCAGCUGCAAAUAAGCUGAUAUUAUUUUGAUUUGGGUUCCUAAAUCGUUGGGAGGAGGGACUGUAAAAAAGCAUAGGUUCCCCAUGCAGAUCCUCCCGUUUCGAGGAGGCGCACUUGUGUGCUUCAUUGCUUCCUUGUUAUUUGUUGCCAGUUUUUGCAAUGCCGAUGCUAAAACAGUCGAGGUUGUCGGGGCUGGUGAGUGUGCAGAUUGUGCAGAGAAUAACUUGGAGAUUAGCCAGGCUUUCUCAGGUACGUACUUUGAUCACCUACUCAUGCAUGCAUGCAUAUAUUGAGCUCGAGUAGGACUACGGGACAGCAUUAUUUUUGUAUUAUGUAGGGUUACUUUAACACUGAUGAUAUCCAUAAUAUUAUUGUUAUUAAUUUGUGUUUCUUUUUACAGGGCUACGAGUAAACAUAGACUGCAAGCCCGAAAAUGGGAAGAACUUCAAAACACGAGGAUCAGGGGAGCUUGAUAAACAAGGCAAUUUUAAAGUAUUCGUUCCAGAGGAUUUGGUUGAAAAUGGGGAACUGAAGGAAGAAUGCUAUGCACAGCUUCACAGUGUAUCGGCAGCACCUUGUCCCGCCCAUGAUGGCUUGGAGUCGGCCAAGUUAGUGUUGAAGUCCAGUAGUGAUGGGAAACACGAGUUUGGGUUAAAAGGAAAGCUCAGAUUCUCACCUCUAACCUGUGCUUCUGCCUUCUUUUGGCCUCACUUUAAGUUUCCUCCCAUGCCUAAGUGGAACCAUCCCCCUUUGCCCAAGUUUCCACUUCCCCCAUUCAAAGGCUUCCACCACCAUUAUCCAAUAAUCCCUCCCAUCUACAAGAAACCUCUUCCGCCACCGUCCCCGGUGUACAAGCCCCCUCCAGUUCCCGUAAACCCACCUGUUCCAAUCUAUAAACCUCCACCAGUUCCAGUCUAUAAACCUCCUCCAGUUCCAGUAAAACCACUUCCUCCACCUGUUCCGAUCUACAAACCUCCACCAGUUGAAAAACCACAUCCUCCACCUGUUCCAAUCUACAAACCUCCACCAGUUGAAAAACCACAUCCUCCACCUGUUCCAAUCUACAAACCUCCACCAGUUGAAAAACCACAUCCUCCACCUGUUCCAGUUUAUAAACCUCCACCAGUUGAAAAACCACAUCCUCCACCUGUUCCAGUCUAUAAACCUCCACCAGUUCCAGUAUAUAAGAAACCAUGUCCUCCACCAGUUCCAGUCUAUAAAUCUCCUCCGGUUCCAGUAUACAAGAAACCGCAUCCUCCUCCAGUUCCAGUCUAUAAGAAACCACAUCCACCUCCAGUUCCAGUAUACAAGAAACCAUGUCCUCCCCCAGUUCCAGUCUAUAAAUCUCCUCCAGUUCCGGAACCACAUCCUCCGCCAGUUCCAGUCCAUAAGCCUCCUCCAGUUCCGGUAUACAAGAAACGAGUCCCUCCUCCGGUUCCAAUCUACAAGCCCCCUCCAGUUCCUGUAUACAACAAACCACUACCUCCCCGGGUUCCAGUGUAUACGAAGCCACUUCCACCACCUGUUCCAACCUACAAUCCAAAACCCCUCCCUCCCAUUCCUUACAAGCCACUCCCUCCACUUCCCAAGAUCCCUCCAUUCCCUAAGAAGCCAUGCCCUCCCCUUCCUAAGCUACCUCCUCUUCCCAAGAUUCCUCCCAAGUAUUUCCACCACCACCCUCCUCUUCCUAAGCUGCCUCCUCUCCCUAAGAUUCCUCCCAAGUAUUUCCACCACCAC
rnacentral:lncRNA from 1 species